AUACGUAUGGGGCGAGCGUUAUCCGGAAUCAUUGGGCGUAAAGCGCGCGUAGGCGGCUGUCCAAGCGGGGCGUCAAAUCCCGGGGCUCAACCCCGGGCCGCGCCCCGAACUGGGCGGCUUGAGUCCGGUAGGGGGAGGCGGAAUUCCCGGUGUAGCGGUGAAAUGCGCAGAUAUCGGGAAGAACACCGGUGGCGAAGGCGGCCUCCCGGGCCGCGACUGACGCUGAGGCGCGAAAGCUGGGGGAGCGAACAGGAUUAGAUCCCCUGGUAGUCCUAGCCGUAAACGAUGGGCACUAGGUGUGGGGGAGACCGAUCCUCCGUGCCGCAGCCAACGCAUUAAGUGCCCCGCCUGGGGAGUACGGCCGCAAGGCUAAAACUCAAAUGAAUUGACGGGG
rnacentral:rRNA from 1 species